rnacentral:lncRNA from 1 species
GGAAGGAGGAUCAGUCGUGGAGGUCUCAGGAUAGCCUUGGAGGGAGAGCCAAGCUGGGGGAGAAGGUGCUGGCCAACUGGACAGAGGGAGGAGGCCGGACAGAGAGAGAAAGAAAAGACAGACAGAAGCACAAAGAAUGGGGCUGUGACGGAGCUGAGGGAGGCAUGGUAUCCAGGCUGGAGGUUGCUGAGCCAUGAACAGAGCCACUGGGGACCCUUGCGUGAGUGGAGGGAUGUGGGGCCACAGGGGGUCCCGGCCCAGGACACAAACACCUGGGAGGAUUGUGGUGAGUCGGGGUCUUCUGCAUCGCCCUCCCUUCCUCUUGCCCAUCACUCUCUUAGCCAAGGCUGCUCGGCCUUCAGGGUGUUCUGGGCUAUCUAGUGACCCCUCCUUCCCAGUGUGUCUGCCCUCCUGUCUGUCUGUCUGUCUGUCUGUCUGCAGUCAGCUUCUCCUGUGUCAGUCUGUGAGCCUGGUGGCCUCCAGGUGGCCCUGCUGACUUAGACUGCCAGGGUGACAGAUGUCUGUGUGUCUCUCUGGCUGUCAGUACAGGUAUCAUAGAGUCUUUCUGUCUGUCCACCCAUCAGUUAGCCUUAUACACAUCAAAUAGCCUCCCAGGUUCAAUUCCUCCUGUUUCUAUGUCUCUCUCAAAUGCUGGUUCCCAGGUGACUGGUUGACACUAUUCCUGCCUCGAGGGCACACCCAGGAUGGGUGGGAGGGCUGGGCUCUGCUCCAGGACUUUCUGAGAGGGAGCCGAUGACCAGCACCCACUGUUGUGACCCCUUACCCCCAGGCACUGCAGGAGUUGAAAAUGACCAGCUCCAUGGCCUCAUAUGAGCAGCUGGUGCGCCAGGUGGAGGCCCUGAAGGCCGAGAACACUCACUUAAGGCAGGAGCUGAGGGAUAACUCUAGCCAUCUCUCCAAGCUUGAGACAGAGACUUCUGGAAUGAAGGUGAGAGCCUGCAUGGAGGGCAUGGGUCAGAAAGACAGACACGAAAGCACCGAUGUCUUGGGAGGGGUCCUCAAGGCAUGUGGACUGCCAGGGUGACAGAUGUCUGUGUGUCCAGGCAGCCCUGAUGCUCACAGACCUAUUCCCUACCAUGCCCGCAGGAGGUCCUGAAACACCUCCAGGGCAAGCUGGAGCAGGAGGCGAGAGUGCUCGUGUCUUCCGGGCAGACAGAAGUGUUAGAGCAACUGAAAGGUGAGUGACUUCCAGAACGGCCCAUGGCCAGCAGGGAUAUAGCAAGAGCAGGUCACUGACCUUCACCAGUGCCUCCCUCCCUCCAGCUCUUCAGACUGACAUCAGUAGCCUGUACAACCUCAAGUUUCAUGCUCCAGCCCUGGGCCCGGAGCCUGCCGCCCGGACUCCAGAGGGAAGCCCAGUGCACGGCUCUGGACCAUCCAAGGACAGCUUUGGAGAGCUGAGCCGGGCCACCAUCCGCCUGCUGGAAGAACUGGACCAGGAGAGGUGAGAGGGCGUGGGAAAGGACCUGCCCCCAGGGACCUCUGCCCUCGGAUUGGGUCGCUGGCAAUGACCCCGCCCCCAACCAGCCACACCCACCUCCAGGCUCUUUCACUCAUCUCCACUCUAUCCCUGUCUGGCUGACCCCAACUGGUGGACAGAGGAUAUGAGGACAUUCCUGGCAAGGGGAAAGGCUCCUGGGAGAGAAGAGCCUCCACCCCCAUCUCCGGGGCCGAGACAUACAGGCGUCCCUAGGGACAGAGCCGUAUCCAAAGUCAGGGCUCAGAAACAGGCCUGACGCCAGAGAUCCUCAAGGAGGCCUUUGUUGAUAGAAGGACAGAAGCCCAAAAAUUCUGGGCCCAGGGCCAGUGGAGGGGGCAGCACCAAAGGGGGCAACCCAGCUCGGCCCCUCUGGGUUGCACGAGGUCACUUGACAAACAGUUUAAGUCCGCUCUGCGGCGCAACUUCUCAGAUGAAUGCUCUGUAAAAUGGAAAUAGAACUUUGUUAAUUGGUAUUGUUUUUCCUUUCUGGAUCCCUGACCACAUUUAUUUCUUUGGGGACACCAUAGCACAUGUGUGGAAGUCAGAGAACACCAGGAAAUCCCGGGAGUCAAACUCAGGGUUCUUAGGUUGCCGACAAAUACCUUUGCCCACUCCGAUAACUUAGCCUAUUU